GAUGAACGCUGACAGAAUGCUUAACACAUGCAAGUCUUUGGCGAAGCUGUGCUUGCACAGCCUAGCCAAGGCGGACGGGUGAGUAACGCGUCAGGAACUUGCCCUACAGUCAGGGAUAACAGACGGAAACGACUGAUAAGACCUGGUAAAGUCAGGCGGACUCAUGUCCAGCCUGAUGAAAAGUGAUGCUGCAGGAGAGCCUUGCGUCCUAUUAGCUUGUUGGUGGGGUAACGGCCCACCAAGGCGAUGAUAGGUAGCCGGCCUGAGAGGGUGGACGGCCACAAGGGGACUGAGAUACGGCCCUUACUCCUACGGGAGGCAGCAGGGGGGAAUAUUGGACAAUGGGGGCAACCCUGAUCCAGCAAUUCUGUGUGCACGAUGAAGGUUUUCGGAUUGUAAAGUGCUUUCAGUAGGGAAGAAAAAAAUGACGGUACCUGCAGAAGAAGCGACGGCUAAAUACGUG
rnacentral:rRNA from 1 species